GUUUUGACAGCAGUAGCAAACAAGGCUUCCGCAUGUUGUUUAUUUUCCAGUGUGUUUUGUACGAUUUAUUCUUGUAUAUAUACAAUACUAGAAGCAGCACUGAUUUUUAAUCACAGUCCUGAACACAGACUACGAAUUCAUUGUGAAUUUCUAUUUCUGAUUAGUAUUCUCAUUGUCGAUGCUGAGUGCAGUUUUAUCCUCUCGGAAGUGUUAACAAUGAAUUUUCUACGGUUGUUCUUGCUGUUGGUUGCGACAGCUUCGGCGCUGUUUGUCCAUAUCGAUGCCAAAGACAAUAAACAGCCGACCCAAGAGGAGAUUGCAGAGCGGUUGGGACUAGCUUCCAAAGUAGUUUUAAAACAGAAACAUUAAAUGCCAAAUGUAUCACUAUUCCUGUUACUAAGAUAUCGUCAUUAUUUUGAUGUUAUUGUCGUCAUUAUUUCGACUUUUCUGUACAAAAUCUCAGUUUCUGGAGUAAAGUUACUGGUUAGCGUUGGCAUAUUAAUGUGUUCUCCUGGAUUUCGUUGUUGCAGCAGUGGUACUUAAAGCGAAUGCACGGAUGUAAUGCAUUCAUCUGGAAAGGAUUUCCGCAUCUGUAAGAAAAAGACUACCAGAAAGAGAAAAACAAAAUUCU